GCGGUGGUAGUUUAGUGGUAGAAUGGUACCCUGCCACGGUGCUGACCGGGGUUCGAGUCCCCGCCACCGCA
rnacentral:tRNA from 1 species